rnacentral:rRNA from 1 species
CAGUCGCCGCGGGAAAACGGAGGGUGCAAGCGUUAAUCGGAAUUACUGGGCGUAAAGCGCACGCAGGCGGUCUGACAAGUCAGAUGUGAAAUCCCCGGGCUUAACCUGGGAACUGCAUUUGAAACUGUCAGGCUGGAGUCUUGUAGAGGGGGGUAGAAUUCCAGGUGUAGCGGUGAAAUGCGUAGAGAUCUGGAGGAAUACCGGUGGCGAAGGCGGCCCCCUGGACAAAGACUGACGCUCAGGUGCGAAAGCGUGGGGAGCAAACAGGAUUAGAUACCCCUGUAGUCCCUGUCUAUUAUAC